UACGGGGGGGGCAAGCGUUGUUCGGAAUUACUGGGCGUAAAGUGUGCGCAGGCGGCCGAGCAAGUCGAGUGUGAAAGCCCCGAGCUUAACUUGGGAACUGCGCUCGAAACUACUUGGCUAGAGUGUGGCAGAGGGAGGUGGAAUUCCACGUGUAGCGGUGAAAUGCGUAGAGAUGUGGAGGAACACCGAUGGCGAAGGCAGCCUUCUGGGCCAACACUGACGCUCAUGCACGAAAGCGUGGGGAGCAAACAGG
rnacentral:rRNA from 1 species